GAUGAAGAACGCAGCGAAAUGAGAUAAGUAAUGUGAAUUGCAGAAUUCAGUGAAUCAUCGAAUCUUUGAACGCAUCUUGCGCUCCUUGGUAUUCUGAGGAGCAUGCCUGUUUGAGUGUCAUUAAAUUCUCAACUACACUGACUUUGAAUUGGUGUGGCUUGGAUUUGGGGGGAAAAUUGUUGUGGGCUUUUUGUAUAGUCUGCUCCCCUGAAAUUGAUUAGCGGUACCUUUGUGGAACUGUCUACAGGUGUGAUAAUUAUCUACAUCUUAGACAUCUGCUGGAAUGCUGCUUUCUAAACCUUACUUGUAUUGACAAUCUUGACCUCAAAUCAGGAAGGACUACCCGCUGAACUUAAGCAUAUCAAUAAGCGGAGGA
rnacentral:misc_RNA from 1 species